rnacentral:rRNA from 1 species
GGGUGAGUAAUGUCUGGGAAACUGCCUGAUGGAGGGGGAUAACUACUGGAAACGGUAGCUAAUACCGCAUAACGUCGCAAGACCAAAGAGGGGGACCUUCGGGCCUCUUGCCAUCAGAUGUGCCCAGAUGGGAUUAGCUAGUAGGUGGGGUAAUGGCUCACCUAGGCGACGAUCCCUAGCUGGUCUGAGAGGAUGACCAGCCACACUGGAACUGAGACACGGUCCAGACUCCUACGGGAGGCAGCAGUGGGGAAUAUUGCACAAUGGGCGCAAGCCUGAUGCAGCCAUGCCGCGUGUGUGAAGAAGGCCUUCGGGUUGUAAAGCACUUUCAGCGAGGAGGAAGGUGGUGAGCUUAAUACGUUCAUCAAUUGACGUUACUCGCAGAAGAAGCACCGGCUAACUCCGUGCCAGCAGCCGCGGUAAUACGGAGGGUGCAAGCGUUAAUCGGAAUUACUGGGCGUAAAGCGCACGCAGGCGGUUUGUUAAGUCAGAUGUGAAAUCCCCGGGCUCAACCUGGGAACUGCAUUUGAAACUGGCAAGCUAGAGUCUCGUAGAGGGGGGUAGAAUUCCAGGUGUAGCGGUGAAAUGCGUAGAGAUCUGGAGGAAUACCGGUGGCGAA